rnacentral:rRNA from 1 species
UACGGAGGAUGCGAGCGUUAUCCGGAUUUAUUGGGUUUAAAGGGUGCGUAGGCGGCUUUUUAAGUCAGCGGUGAAAUUUUGCAGCUUAACUGUAACAGAGCCGUUGAUACUGGGGAGCUAGGAUUUGGUUGCUGUGGGUGGAAUGUGUGGUGUAGCGGUGAAAUGCUUAGAGAUCACACAGAAUAUCGAUUGCGAAGGCAGCUCACAAAGCCAAGAUUGACGCUGAGGCACGAAAGUGUGGGGAUCAAACAGGAUUA